GACGAACGCUGGCGGCGUGCCUAAUACAUGCAAGUAGAACGCUGAAGGAGGAGCUUGCUUCUCUGGAUGAGUUGCGAACGGGUGAGUAACGCGUAGGUAACCUGCCUGGUAGCGGGGGAUAACUAUUGGAAACGAUAGCUAAUACCGCAUAAUAUUGACUAUUGCAUGAUAGUCAGUUGAAAGGUGCAACUGCACCACUACCAGAUGGACCUGCGUUGUAUUAGCUAGUUGGUGGGGUAACGGCUCACCAAGGCGACGAUACAUAGCCGACCUGAGAGGGUGGUCGGCCACACUGAGACUGAGACACGGCCCAGACUCCCACGGGAGGCAGCAGGAGGGAAUCUUCGGCAAUGGGCGGAAAUCUGAGCGAGAAACGCCGCGGGAGUAAAGAAGGUUUUCGGGUCGGAAAGGUCGGCUGUAAGGGAAGAACGAGUGUGAGAGUGGAAAGCUCACACUGUGACGGUAUCUUACCAGAAAGCGACGGCUAACUACGUG
rnacentral:rRNA from 1 species